GGUCUGUAGCUCAGUGGCAGAGCACUUGCCUAGCAUGUGUGAGGCACUGGGAUUGAUCCUCAGCACCA
rnacentral:tRNA from 1 species